rnacentral:sRNA from 1 species
AUAAUAGUAAAAACUGAAGCUUCCAUGUAGCAUCCAACGUACAGCAUGCAGAUACGCAUAGUACAUUUUAAGAGCUGAACUCAGGAAGUACCACCUGAAAAAGGAGGGGCACUAUAAAGCAUGCACAUGUUAAUUUUACUCAUCCAAACUGGUUAAAGCUUCUCCAGUCUCAAAGCUUCUCAUUCAGUUUCCUGCCAGAAUGGACUAACUAGCUCACUUCUUGCAUGUCAGAGUUGCAUUCAUGGAACUUUCAAACCAGAAACUGGUUACGCUCGUGUUGUCUACAAGGAUGAAGGAUAUGUAUGUGGCCCCCCUUCAGAGACAUUGAAAAUCAAUCCAGCAACAAUACCAGAGGAUUUGCAGUUAUCAUACAAUUUAGAAGUUCAAAUUGCAUCUUAAAAUUGUGAGAAUUGUUUAUUGCUUUGUGAAUAGUUCCAGAAGAUUCAGAACAGUAUACUGACUCAACAAAAGUUAUUCCAUAAACAAAACUGGGCUAUUUUUUGGUGCUUAAAAUAUUAUAACCCUAGUAGUACCUCCAUAAGCUUCCCAUAUCUCCCCAUCAUUCUAAGGGCACAAGGUAUUGGUAUGUUAUUAUUAUAAGCAGUGAGACAACGCAGGCCUUAGCUAAUUGAAACAGUUAUGUCCUUGAAUCUUGAUCAAUCACUUCCAACAGAAAUAGCUUGAAUUGAUGGAAAUAUUGCCCUACAGCAUUAUCCUGUCAAUAGGCUUGUGAUUUUAGAACAAAUGCGAUAAACACAAUUCUAACACAAUGUUGUAUUCUCACUUUGGGUUUUCUCUCUUUCUCACUCAUUCAUCACACUUCGUAGUUCCUAUACAAUACGCAACUAUAAAUAAAAAUAUCUAUCACAACUCCGAUAAAAUAGCUCAAGUAUUGGAAUAAACCUAGCAUCGCUAUAUUUGCACUAUUUAACACCGCAGCAUUUGCCAACAAAAUAAUCAUUUUCUAUCACAGAUACCAAGAAUAAGAAGACCCAAACAGGAUAUAAGGAUAGAUGCUGAUAAACUGACAUUAAAAAGGAAGUUGAAAGUAAUAUGUGUUAUGAACUGUAGGUACUAGACUAUUACAAUGUUUACAACCUGUGUGAAUUUUAUCAAUGAAUUAAUUGGGAAUUCUUAGUAAAGUUUCACCUCCACCCUAGGGUUAUCUAUCUUUAUGAAAAUGGUCAAAGAGACGAAAGGAGAAAGAAUGAAAAAUACUUGAUCAAGCCAGCCAAGUCAUUCACAGAAAGGGAGCAUUCCUUGCAUAACCCAUCAGUUAUUAGGUCCUCUGGGGUUUCAGUUCCACGUAUAGCAAUUACUACAGAUUGUAGAUGAUGUAGAACCACAACAAAAUAUGCAGCUUGACACUUG